AUUGAACGCUGGCGGCAGGCCUAACACAUGCAAGUCGAGCGAGCAGCGGACGGGUGCGUUAUGCCUGGGCAUUGCCCAGUAGAAGGGGAUAACAGUUGGAAACGACUGCUAAUACCGCAUACGAUUGGUAUCCACAGGUGGGAUUAGCUCGUUGGUGAGGUAAUGGCUCACCAAGGCAACGAUCCCUAGCUGGUAUGAGAGGAUGAUCAGCCACACUGGAACUGAGAAACGGGCCAGACGCCUACGAGAGGCAGCAGUGGGAAAUAUUGCACAAUGGGGGAAACCCUGAUGCAGCCAGGCCGCGUGUGUGAAGAAGGCCUUAGGGUUGUAAAGCACUUUCAGCGAGGAGGCGUUACUCGCAGAAGAAGCACCGGCUAACUCCGUGCCAGCAGCCGCGGUAAUAC
rnacentral:rRNA from 1 species